CCCUUAGAUGUCCUGGGCUGCACGCGUACUACAAUGAUACGUGCAACGAGUUAAUCCUGCUCUGAAAGGAGUGGGUAAUCUUAUGAAUGCGUAUCGUGCUUGGGAUUGACCAUUGUAAUUAUUGGUCAUGAACGAGGAAUUCCUAGUAAGCACAAGUCAUCAGCUUGUGCUGAUUACGUCCCUGCCCUUUGUACACACCGCCCGUCGCUCCUACCGAUUGAGUGUUCCGGUGAAUUAUUCGGACUGCAACAGUUAUCUGUCGCGGAAAGUCUUGUGAACCUUAACACUUAGAGGAAGGAAAAGUCGUAACA
rnacentral:rRNA from 1 species